AAGUAAGGGAAGAAAGCUUUUGAACAUUGAUAAAUAUCAAGUCCCCUCAGUUCGUAUCAAAACAAGGAAAAUUAACUUGUACAAUAAUGGACAACAUGCUUAGCCAACAAAAGGAGAUACAUGGAUCAACAAAAGAUGAGAGUAAAAGGGCCAAAUCUGAAGUGGUAGAGUGCAUCCAACAAAGAGAUAUGGUGAUUAAAGCUCGGGAAUAUCUUCUCCUAUUCGACUUCAACUGCAGAAAAAAGGAAUCAGGGGAGGAGUAUCAAAGAACAAAAAUGAGGAAAAGGUCAACACUUACAGGAAUAUACAGAGAGGCGUUCAUGGCAGCAACUAGAGAGGCAGAAUGAGCUAGAGAAGAGGAAGAACAAAAGAGGAAAAAGUGGAAAUGAUUCUUUUAGGAAAUCCUAAGGGAUAGCUCAUUUUUUAC
rnacentral:lncRNA from 1 species